rnacentral:rRNA from 1 species
UAGGGAAUCUUCCACAAUGGACGCAAGUCUGAUGGAGCAACGCCGCGUGAGUGAAGAAGGUUUUCGGACCGUAAAGCUCUGUUGUUGGUGAAGAAGGAUAGAGGUAGUAACUGGCCUUUAUUUGACGGUAAUCAACCAGAAAGUCACGGCUAACUACGUGCCAGCAGCCGCGGUAAUCGUAGGUGGCAAGCGUUGUCCGGAUUUAUUGGGCGUAAAGCGAGCGCAGGCGGAAGAAUAAGUCUGAUGUGAAAGCCCUCGGCUUAACCGAGGAAUUGCAUCGGAAACUGUUUUUCUUGAGUGCAGAAGAGGAGAGUAGAACUCCAUGUGUAGCGGUGGAAUGCGUAGAUAUAUGGAAGAAUACCAGUGGCGAAGGCGGCUCUCUGGUCUGCAACUGACGCUGAGGCUCGAAAGCAUGGGUAGCGAACAGGAUUAGAUACCCUGGUAGUCCAUGCCGUAAACGAUGAGCGCUAAGUGUUGGGAGGCUUCCGCCUCUCAGUGCUGCAGCUAACGCAUUAAGCACUCCGCCUGGGGGAGUACGACCGCAAGGUUGAAAC